AGAAAGGCUUUGAAGGUGUAAGUAGAGAGAUAUUUUCUUUCAGAGAGAGGAGGCCACCGGCUGUAAACCUCCUUAAGUUCAGAUAUUUCUUGAAAUUCUCACUGGAGCUGCUGCUUUGAACAGAGUAGAAGCAGACGUACUGUGCGUUAAACAGUUGAGUGCCUGCAUGCGUUUUUGCAGGAAUCAGGGUGGUACCGCGGAUUCAGCUUCGUCCCUAUG
rnacentral:ncRNA from 1 species